rnacentral:RNase_P_RNA from 8 species
GAGAGUAGGCGUUGGCGGUUGCAGACCAGUUAGCUUAACUGAUUUGAGGAAAGUCCGGACUCCCGAAAGACCAGACUUGCUGGAUAACGUCCAGUGCGAGCGAUCGUGAGGAUAGUGCCACAGAAAAAUACCGCCAAGAUUGGGGACUGGGGACUAGGGGUUGGGGACUGGGGAAGAAACUUCCCAAUCCCUAAUCCCCCAUACCCAAUACCCAACUCUUGGUAAGGGUGCAAAGGUGCGGUAAGAGCGCACCAGCAGUAUCGAGAGGUACUGGCUCGGUAAACCCCGGUUGGGAGCAAGGCCGAAGGAACUAUGGUUGGUCUUUUACCAGUUCCGCUAUCAGAGAGCCGCUAGAGGCGUUUGGUAACAAACGUCCCAGAUAGAUAAUCGCCCUCGUGUAAAGCAAUUUACACAGAGAACAGAACCCGGCUUACCACCAACUCUCUCCU